AUGUAGAAGUGACAAUUAAUCUCAACGGCAUUAUUUUGUAAAUUUGAGUUAAGUGUUUCGUUGCUAAUGCCAUAUUUUAGCCUUCGAAAAG